AAGAGUUUUAAGUUAAAACAGAUGUUAAUAUUCAUUACUUAAUGUAUUCAUAUAUAAUUUUAAAUGAAUAUGUAUUACAGUACUUAUUAUUAAUAUACGAAUAGUUGUUGAAAAAAAAGAACAAAAUCUCCAUCAUGUAAAUUAAAAAAGCUAACCAAGUAUUAAUUUCUUUAUAAAAUACCGGAACACGUGAAAAGCGAAUGCACUAUGGAAUUAAUAAUAACAUGGGUUGUGUACCUUGCAACUUAUAUGAGUAAAUUUUUUUUAUUAUUUGACUCAGCCAAGUGCUUGUUUUGGUGUACAUUCUAGAAACUUGAAAUCGACUUAUUGUCUGGGAUGUGCAAUAUUACAACAUCAUUUUGUUCAUUUGAAAAUAUAAUGUAGAUAUUUUUUUUGUUAUCAAGUUGAUUUAUUUUAUUAUUGUAUAAUUAACAGUUCAUUAUUCAUUUCUAUUGAGUGCAAUUUUUUCGUAAUCAACGUGAUUAAUGUAGAGAAUUUGAGCCCUCCUUCUUGACAACUAUAAUUCAAACAAGAUGAUAACUUUUCUAUUUUGUUUUUGGAUCUGUUUUCAUUAAGUUAUCAAAUAUAAUCUAGAAAGGUGCAUGUUUAUCGGUCAGAACAUAAUAUUUAUUAAUUUGUUGUUGUGAAAUGUUAUUCGAGUGCCCUUAAAAUCUUUCCUUAAAGUGAAUCAUUGAAAAAAAUAAAUAAUUGAAAAACUGAAGGACUUGAAACAAAUUAUCCAAUUGGGAACAAUUGGGUGAACUAGAAACUAGUUGAAACUCUUAAGUGUACUUAAGUUCAAUUAAUAAAUUUACCUAGGAUAAAUUUGCCAAUAAUUGAUUUGCAGCAUUCUAUUCAAAUGACAAAGGAAAAUCUCAAGAGAUUCCGUCACACAACAAUGGACAUUUUUAAAUGUGAAAAUAUUGAAGAUAAGAGAUUUAGUGAAGAAAAAGAAAAAUGGUAAAAGUAUGGAGUCUUGAGGAACACCACCAUAAAUGUUUGUGAGCUAAGAAAACCCUUUAAAUUGUAUGAAAAACACAAAACAAUCACUUUUAAAAUUUAAGUCGCUUGAAGAUUUAAGUUUUUAGUUAAAAAUUUAUCAAUAUUUUAUAUAGUGAAGCGAUUUUAAGUCAAAAACCUUAAAAAGUAUUCUUCGCUUAUGUGUUUUCUGUUCAUAUAUUUUGUUUAAGUACUUUUAAAGCCUAUAUACAUAAGUGAGAAUUUUUUGUUUGCAAUAUAAUAUAAAAAAAAAUUGUUAAAAUUUAAAAAUAAUUUACGAUAUUUCUAAAAAUAAAUUCUAAAAAAAAAACAAUUUCAAUUGCAUGUCUACGUAAAAUAUUUACUUAUACGAAAAUUAACUCCAACACGUGUUAAAAAUAUCUAUAGGCAGGUAUUUUAUUUGCACUGUCGUAGAUUGGUUCAUAGAAUUUUUUGUGUUAAAAUUGUUUACUUACUCAUUAGCGCCCACUUGUACAAACUUUUAUUGUUAUAUUUUUUUUUGAAUUUGGUAUUCACAGAAAUAAAAAAUAUUUCUUUAAAAUAAAAUUUGCACACUUACCUGAAAAAAAGAAAAAAAUAUUUAUUAGUUCAAUAAACGUUAAAAAUGUAAACAAUUAAUUUAUGUUAUUUUUAAUUAAAAAAGACAUGUAUACGGGAUUUUCCAAUAAAUUUAGAAUAUAUGUGAAAUAAAUUAUUAUUGUAGGCGAAAAA